rnacentral:rRNA from 1 species
UACGUAGGGUGCGAGCGUUGUCCGGAAUUAUUGGGCGUAAAGAGCUCGUAGGCGGUGUGUCACGUCGGCCGUGAAAACCUGCAGCUUAACUGUGGGCGUGCGGUCGAUACGGGCAUCACUGGAGUUCGGCAGGGGAGACUGGAAUUCCUGGUGUAGCGGUGAAAUGCGCAGAUAUCGAGGAGGAACCACCGGUAGGCGGAAGGCGGGGUCUCUGGGCCGAGUACAUGACGCUGGAGGAAGCGGAAAGCUCGG